CUGCCGCACGAUCCACCAUUAUCACUCUACUCAAUUCUACCAUCCAAAACUCCCCGUUCUCCAGUUACACCCUCCGUGACCUCCUCAAUUCCACCCUCCUCAGUGUACCUGCUCAGCUGCCUUUCAACAUCACCAUCCUUAAUGGGACCACAAACGGAACACAACUGGGAAAUGCAUCUACAGUAUUCAGCUCCAAUGGACCACUGGACCUGGCAAAUCCAAGGAGCAAUGUUCCAGUCCCAGUGCCGCUUAGCAUCACUCGUAAUGGUUGUAACAGCACUAAGCUGUGUUUGUCGAGUGCUUCUAACUGCGAUCC